GGAGAAUGAACGAUCGACUGCUAAAGAUCUUGAAUAAAGCAUUGAUAGCUUUGCAGAGGAGAAAAACUUUGAUUCUUCUUGAAUGUGUUCCUUGCAUGUUGAAGUGAACAGGGGCGGUACCAACUACGACUAGAAAGCGGCCACUCCUGUCAAUGAAUACCAUUCAUGAUUGUCUAUGUUAGUAACAUAGCCAUAACAACUUUGUUUUACUGCUUGAGGUGGUGAUAACUUUUAUAUAUUUGCUUUAUUAUAAGCUUGCAUAGUGCUCUAUCAAGAAAAAAAUAUAGUAUUUAAGAAUAAUUAAUCAAUGUACCUAUGACAAUGUCAAAUGAUACCUCCUAGUCCUGGUGACCACCCAUUGCAUAAAACAAAAUUUACGUCCCUUCAACCAGAUGACUCUCCCCCUCUACACCUUCCACUUCCUGAAGUGGAUUGAGGACCGAGUCUUGGAGGGAAACUUGAUGAAGCUAAUGAUGAUUCUGUUUGUUAAAUCAUACAACCUCUCUCUCUCUCUAUAAUAAGAUAGUACCGCCUAAUAUGCCCUAAAUUACCACACAUAUAAAAUAGUUUUAUCCCCUGAUGACAUGGUCCAGGAUGUGCCCUUCUCAACUAAGCACAAUGCAGCAAUGGUGGUCUUCCCUACUCUGAAUGCUCAAGUCGUUGCAGAGAGACUGAACUCUAAUCUCUCAUAUAAACCUGUAACACGGAUGAAUUACUCUCUACAGGUCUAGACAAUUGCCUGGAUGAAAAAGCCUCGUGGUCCCCUUGAGGUUCACUUAGAAAACAACAGUCUUAGCUCUCUUCCUCUGUUUCUACUCUCUACGAGUAUCUCGUAGCUGAUGAAACAAAUCCUUCUCCCUUUGGGCAAGAGCCUGCUUUUGUGCAAUAUUUGUAUCAGUCUCAGUAGACAUUCCUAAGCAUUUAUGAGCCACAUAAGACCCUAAACAUAAAAAAAAAAAUAGAUACACUCUAUCCUUCUUCGUCUGCACCAUGUGGGAAUCAUAUAUGGCCAAGGAAUUAAAUCUGAGGCUAUACUCACGCAUACCCAUAUUACCCUAUUGCAUAUGUAAGAACUACUCAACUUGAGCCUGUCGAAGGUCUUCUUGUAGGUACUGCUCUAUAGAGACCUAGGAGAACUCUUUCCACCAGCUGGAGGUGCAUUAGUUUCGUUAGUUUUUUCCCAUGCCUCAUAAAAUAAUAUAGCUACAUCACAUAGCGUGAAUGAUCCUAGCUCUACUCCCUCCAUAACUAUAACCCGCAUCACCUUCAAUAUUCUACAAUUCUUAUCAAUAACAUCCUGAGGAUCUUCUUUGGAUAAGAUCUACAGAAAAGUAAAGGAAUCAAGUUCAGAAACUCACAAGCCCGCACAACUUCUAGGCUUUAUGCUACUUCAAACUUUCAUGCUGUCCAACAUCUUUACAAGCCAUAAACUUAAUUGCUCCCUCAGUGCCCAGUCCUUUUAGAGAUUCUGGAGGUUUGAUAGGUGUUGGAGGUACAAAAACUUUGUCACCCUCGUGUAUCACUAGGAAUGGUGAUGUUGGAUGUUUUUCUAAUGUAGCUCUACCUGGAGAAAGAGGGGCUGUAAUAUCUGGAGCAGGACACUCGCUUUGAACCUCUAAUCUAUAUCUUUGUUCAUUAGGUGGGCGUAUAUUACCAUCUCCUGAAGUUAUACAUUGUGUAGAUAUCUACCUCAUCGUCAACAUAUUCUGAAAUAAUUACAUGAAUAGGAUAUCAUAUAACCUGAUGACUUCGCUCUAUAGCACGAAUUGUCCAUGAAAAUGUGAAACAACACCAAAGUUUCCUAUAUCCUCAUGAUUGUAACUAUGGUGCACCACAUACCCAUAAGAAAGACUCUACUAUACAUGGCUUUGUGGACUCCUUAGUACACGACCUCGCUAUGAUACAAGGUUUGUCACGCCCUAAAACUAAGGUAGGGUGCGACUGGCCUCGAUAUUGACUGAAUUGAGAAGCUGUCUAUAUAACAUAUGAAAUUGUAAUACACAGGCAACCAGACCACCUAUCACAACCUCCUAGACCGACAAGGUCACAACUAAAUAAAAUUUGAUAAAAAUAAGGUUAACUAAGCCAUAAUGUAACUGAGCUGAACAAUGGAAUGCCGACAAGACCAUAAAACCAAACUGAACAAAACUAUACAUUAGCGUCCACAAAACCCUCUAAAGAGUAACAAACUUAGUUUUCAGAACAGAUAAUGGCUCCUGAAAAACAGAAGCAUACAAACUCUCAGCUGAAGUUAGACUCCUAUUGCAACUAACGAUAAAAGCAUGUAUCUGCACCUGCAUCAUGAAUGUGGCGUAUACAAGCGUAGGGACAUCAGUAAAAAUACCAUGUACUGGUAUGUAAGGCUAAAAGCGGUAAAACGGAGUAUAUCAAAGAUACUAAACUACAGUUAGGGAUAGAAAAAACCUGAGAUUCCGGAAGCUGAGAUUUGAUAAUGACUUAACAUUUAUCUUCUAAUGCAUCAAAUUAAGCACAUAUACCAAUCAUACCUCCCCAAUGGUGAACUAUAUGAUAAUCAUGUCAUAGUAGCGACCCUACUUAGCCGAGAUGGCCAUCUUGGUGGUGUAAUGACGGAGUAAGAAUCAGCCCACCAGACAUGUUUGUCGUGGUAUUAUGGUGACAAAGUAAGAAUAUACCCACCAGACAUGCAUGCAGUGGUGUUGUGGUGAUUCAGUAAACAUCUAUCCACUAGACAUGCCUGGUGGUGUGGUAAACUAUAGUACUAUAGCUUCCUACCGACAUUACCCCAUUGGUAGUGUAACAUGAAGUCAUAACCACUAUCAUCUACCAAGCCAAACAUGCUCAUAUCGAGUGUAUCUAAUAAUUAUACCACAUAUGCAAUCUAACUCUAAGAAUGCAACCUAAAUAGGCCACUUCAAGACUCGUGAAUUGUAACUAUGUACAUGUAACAUAUAAAGCUUUCAAAUAGCAUAUAAAUAUGCCUACUCUAUACUUAAACAAUAGCUAGAAGGUUUAGAUGUCAUAAGGAAUCCAAUAGGCUUAUGAAUGAUGUACCAAAUCUAUUUACAAUGCCUUCACGUAUAGCUUGAACAAGAGAUCAUAUAUUUUUAUUUUUAUUUGAUCAACUCUUUUACGAUCUGUAUAUAUACAUAUAUUCUAUCCGUAAGGUGCUUCUUUUACCCGUGUCAAAAAUUAUGUUAUUUUACUCUGUUUAUAAACUUAUUGUGUCGAUGAUCACCAAUAGUUCUUAAUGUUUUUCAUGAAACUCACAUACACAACUACUUUUAAAUGAAAACACAUAUAGGACCAGCUCACAGUGCUCACGAUAAGGGGUCUCCAAACACAAUUUACAACUACGAAAACAAUUGUAUAUAAAUCGCCAUUUUUGUCAUAUUCAUAUAUUUUAAUAUUAUAAAAAUUAUAGAAAAUCACCAUGUUUUUCCAACCUUUUAACCGAACCAUACAAUACCUUAAUAGGAGUUGAAAACAUAGGAAUACUAGUCCAAUCAACGAUGUAUAUUGGUUCUUGAAAAUAGAGGAAAGGGGUAUCUAACCUUUAUUUGAGUCCUUUAACAUAAUACAAUGUCUGGAUUAUCUCUUGCUCCUUCAAUAUAAAACAACAACCAAUGAAAAUUCAACUUUAAAUAGUUAUACAACACAUCCAAGUCAUUUAGUCUAUUCAACAAACACAUGAUGGGCGUAAAUUCAAGAGAAAUUUAAAUCAAUAGGUGUUCGUAGUAUUAAUCCAUUCAUAUUACCAACAACAAUACACUACACUUAAAUGACUCUAAUACAUUAACCUCCAUCCACAAGACCAGUGCACACAUCCCUCACCAAAAACAUCAAUUAACAUGAGGGGAAUUUUUUUUCACGACUCCCUAUUACCAUCCUAUGAGUUGUACCCAUAUUUUAUAUAGCUAAAACAUGAAGAACAUCACAUACAUGAGAGAAGGGAACAUGUACAUACCUUGCUUGAAGCAGAUGUUGUCCCUUAAGAUUGUAUUUAACCAAGAAGAAAGGUUGUCUCUUCACUCCAAAGACAGACUUAAGUGAAUAAUAUGCUUGGUUGAGGAACAAUACUUGAUUCUUGGUUGAUUUCUCAAUUAGGGCUUUUGGAGAGGAGAGGGCUUCAAGAACCAAAAACGAGGAGCUUCAUAAAUAACUUAGGAAAUGUCUCUAAUGAAUUCACCUCAUACAUAUCAUUUUUAAAAUAUUUGUAAUGACAUAACAUGUGCUACUCACGUUCCCAACACAACCAAUUUAGGUUUCUGCGUAGUUCGUAGUAAAAUAAGCAUAUCCAUUUUCUCUGAAGUCUUAUUGAUGAGUGAUUUAUUUCAUUAAACUACACUCACAUGUAUUUAAUUUUAUAUAUUAUAUAACCUAUAAAUCCUCAUAUGCUAGGAGAUAUGAUUAUCUCAAUUUAGACCACAUAUGAGAUUAUAUGAAAUAAUCUGUCGUAAUGUAACCUUCUAACUUGUAACCUUGUUAUGACACUUAUGUUGAUGCACAAUGAGUAACAACCAAUAUGAUCAUCCCUUUAGAACCUUAUUCUCCUGGCAACUCAUCAACAAACAACGUAAGAUGAAAAAUAUAGUUUUGGACGCGUAUAUCUUUAGCUUACUGAGUUAGUUACCUUAAAAUAUACGGGGCGUUACAAUUUGGCUUGCCUACCUUUGUUUAUAUGACAUAUUGUUACUCAGGUCAUGACCUUAACGGUCAGCUUAGUAUUUCAAAUGUUGUGUUACCUGACCUUUUGGGCCCUUAGUUUAAUUAGCUAGUAUAUUUUAGUGACUAACUUGACUGAAUACGGUUUUGUGUUCCGCUCACGCCUCCCCUAGUUUUGAGGGUGAAAUAAACAAUACUGAAAUGUAGAUUGAUCAUUCAUACAUUGCACCCCUCUUAAGAAUAGGAAAAUUAGUUAUUCAUGACAUAAAUUAAAAAAGUAAUACCAACAUUAUCAGCUAUAAUAGUUAUUGAGUUGAAUCCCUACAUAAAUGAAUCUUCAAAAGCCUUCAAUCACAAGAAGGUUCCCAGAUCUCUAACUACAAGAUUCUUCCUAAUUGUAAGGGUUUUGUAGAGAAUGUACUAUGAAUUUUAAAGAAUGUAAAGAAAGUGUUCUCUCAUUUUAAAAUCUAUUUAUAUUUUUGAGAAAAUAUUCACAAAAAUGCUCUUCGAGACAAUUUAAUGAUCUUAAUUGAACUCACAUAAUUGUUUGGCAAUACACCAAUUUGUCACUCACCUCGCUGAAUCGGUUUGUGCAAUUGAUUUCUUUUUUCAGGCAACUGUGAAUUUGGAAGAUACUCUAGACCUUUGCUGAGUCAAUUCGGUAAUAUUAUGAAUGUCCUUUUUGUGUCGCCAACUUGAUGAGCAUUUAAAAGGUAGCGGCUGCUAUUUUAGGAGAGCUGAAAGUCAGUUUACUAUGCUUCAAACUUGAUGCGCAAUGCUCAGUGCAAACUUGACUACCUUUUUCUUCUUUUGCUUUCUUCCUCUUCUUUUCAACUCCAAGGUAUCCUUAGAACUUUCAUAGUUGAAAUAUUAUUAAAUUAUGAUCAAAAGGGGUAUAAAUAAGCAUUGAGGACAUUACUUUUUUAUGAGAAAAAAAGCCUGAAAUGAGUCCUAAAUCUCCAACUCAUCAUUAUUUUCUUAAAAAAUAUUUGAUAAUACAAAAUUUAGUCAAGUUAUAUAUAACAUCCUCCAAAAAAAAAUAUUUGCAUUGUUUAAGAAAUUAAACAUUUCUAAGAAUUAUAAUGCUUUCUUUCCAAAAAAAUUUUGUUAACACUUCGAAAUUUUGUUGUAAUAUACCAGAAUAUCUUGAUAAUAUUUUAUUUGAAAAAUAUUAAUUAAAUAAAUAAAUACAAGUUAAUUUGAAUGUUAAAUGCACUCUUGGCAUUAUCAAAAUUAAAAUAUAAAUCAAAUUAGAAAGUAAAUACAAAGAAUUUAAUUUCCAUGAAGACAAACAACUGGAUACAAAUCAAGAGUGCAAAAGAUUAAUAUCUACAGUAUUUUUAUUUUAUUUUUUAAAAAGUUAUAUAAAGUAUACAUAUAUCUGUGUAUUUCUUAUUUUUAAAUAUGUAUCUAUAUAGUCCAUAUUAAAUAUAGUGAUGAAUUGUUUAUGGAUAAUUUAUUAGUAAAUAGUAGAGUGAAAAAUUUUACCAAAACAAAUGUCUGAUCUAUAAACAAACUCAAAAAUGGAUAGGUCAACAAAAAAUCUAAGUUCUCAUAUUUUUAUAUAUCAUUUUAUAAGGUAGAAAAACAAAGAAGUUCAAUUUUAUGAAAUUAAGACAUAAAAUAUUAUGAUUAUUAUUUUUUUAAUUUCACUACCUUCAAUUUAUCCAAGCUCAUCCAAUAAAAAAGAUUUAAAUUUUCUGGACAUGUCCACUUCAAUUUAUCCUCAAUAAAUGAUAUAGAGAUAAAAUAGACAUGCUAGAUAUGGUGGGCGAGUCCCAAGAAUUCUUUAUGAUUUGAAAAAUAAAGUUGCGUUUAGAUUUAACAAGUAGAAGGAAAAAAUUGCAAGAAAGUUUUGUCAGGAGAAAGAAAAAGAAGAAGAAAAAGUUUAAAAUGGGUGAGAAAAAGUAAGGAUAUAGAAAGAAAAUGAUACCUCUUAAAACAUAGCUUGCACCAUCGAAUUAACCUCCACUCCUCCUCCAACCACUAUAAUCCAGCCAGGUCAAGUGGAACCUCCUCUGAAAGAUACUUUCAAACUCAAUAUUGACGGAUCCUUCGACUCCUUAAACCGCAUAGGAGGCAUCGGAGGGGCAAUUCGGGACGACCUGGGAAACUCGAAAGUUGAUUUCCACUACAAAUUGAUGGGAAUUACCUCUACCCAUAUGGAAAUUCUUUCCUUACUUAAAGGAGCAGAGUUGGCCGACUAAUUUCACCUCAAGCCUUUGGAGAUAUAGACCAAUUCCAGUGAUAUAAUACGAAUUCUAACCGAAGAUACUAAUCUAAUCUAUAAACCUCCUGUUUCCUUAUGCAGGUAUUGGCUGGAAAAACUAGGGAAUCUGACAAUCCAACAUAAUUUUAGGGAGAGCAACAAAUUAGCACACAUACUAGCAACUUAUACGAGGAAAAAUGGUAUUAAAGAAUGUAUAAUCCUCCUAACACCACCCUUAUGGACGCUGCAACUACUAGAAGAUCAGCAUGUAUACACUAUCACUUAAAAAAUGUCAGCCAGAACUUUUAAUAAUCUAGUAAAAUAUGGGUAUACUAAUAUCUCUGAUGUAGUAUUAUCAUAUGUAACUUUUCCUCA
rnacentral:lncRNA from 1 species